rnacentral:rRNA from 1 species
UACGUAGGGCGCAAGCGUUAUCCGGAAUUAUUGGGCGUAAAGAGCUCGUAGGCGGUUUGUCGCGUCUGCCGUGAAAAGUCCGGGGCUCAACUCCGGAUCUGCGGUGGGUACGGGCAGACUAGAGUGAUGUAGGGGGGAGACUGGAAUUCCUGGUGUAGCGGUGAAAUGCGCAGAUAUCAGGAAGAACACCUAUGGCGAAGGCAGCUCUCUGGGACGGUACUGACGCUGAGACGCGAAAGCGUGGGGAGCGAACAGG